UACAGAGGUCCCAAGCGUUGUUCGGAAUCACUGGGCGUAAAGGGUGCGUAGGCGGUAUGGUAAGACUUGGGUGAAAUCUCCAUGCUUAACGUGGAGGGAGCCUGGGAGACUGCCGUGCUAGAGGAUUGGAGGGGAGACUGGAAUUCUUGGAGUAGCAGUGAAAUGCGUAGAUAUCAAGAGGAACACCAGUGGCGAAGGCGAGUCUCUGGACAAUUCCUGACGCUGAGGCACGAAGGCCAGGGGAUCAAACGGGAUUAGAUACCCCGGUAGUCCUGGCAGUAAACGGUGCACACUUGCUGUGUGGGGGAUCGACCCCUUACGUGGCGCAGCCAACGCGCUAAGUGUGCCGCCUGGGGAGUACGGUCGCAAGACUAAAACUCAAAGAAAUUGACGGGGGCCUGCACAAGCGGUGGAGUAUGUGGCUUAAUUCGAUGCAACGCGAAGAACCUUACCUGGCCUUGACAUGCAGAUAUUAGGAGGGUGAAAGCCCGACGAGUGAGCAAUCACAGUCUGCACAGGUGCUGCAUGGCU
rnacentral:rRNA from 1 species